GUGGGGAAUCUUCCACAAUGGACGAAAGUCUGAUGGAGCAACGCCGCGUGAGUGAAGAAGGGUUUCGGCUCGUAAAGCUCUGUUGUCGGGGACGAAUGUGCAGUAUUUGAAUAAAGUACUGCAAUGACGGUACCUGACGAGGAAGCCACGGCUAACUACGUGCCAGCAGCCGCGGUAAUACGUAGGUGGCAAGCGUUGUCCGGAAUUAUUGGGCGUAAAGGGAGCGCAGGCGGGAAGGUAAGUCGGUCUUAAAAGUGCGGGGCUCAACCCCGUGAUGGGAUCGAAACUAUCUUUCUUGGGUGCAGGAGAGGAAAGUGGAAUUCCUAGUGUAGCGGUGAAAUGCGUAGAUAUUAGGAGGAACACCAGUGGCGAAGGCGGGUUCCUGGCCCAUGACUGACGCUGAGGUGCGAAAGCCGGGGGAGCGAACGGGAUUAGAUACCCCGGUAGUCC
rnacentral:rRNA from 1 species